CGAAUAAUGAGGACCAUGUAAGAACCCAGGGAGAGCAUUCCAGUAGGGAGCACUUAUGAGUACAAAGGCCUUGAGGGACUGAUGCUGUACAUGCCCUUGCUUGUACACACUGGAGCAAGCUCUAAUCAGCUGAUUAUGAAUCUACCAGUUCAAUGUGGGAAGAAGCAAGGUCCUUGCUUGCCCAGGGUUCUUGAAUGUAAUGCACUGUUGGCCUAGAUGCUCACUUCAGGAAGCCACUACUCAAAGAAGGCCUCUGGCAAGUUUCUUUGUGCUAUGGCUACAGCAGGACCUGAGAAGCUAUUGUGUCCCAAGAU
rnacentral:lncRNA from 1 species